UACGGGGGGGGCAAGCGUUGUUCGGAAUUACUGGGCGUAAAGGGCUCGUAGGCGGCCAACUAAGUCAGACGUGAAAUCCCUCGGCUUAACCGGGGAACUGCGUCUGAUACUGGAUGGCUAGAGGUUGGGAGAGGGAUGCGGAAUUCCAGGUGUAGCGGUGAAAUGCGUAGAUAUCUGGAGGAACACCGGUGGCGAAGGCGGCAUCCUGGACCAUAACUGACGCUGAGGCGCGAAAAGCUAGGGGAGCAAACGGGG
rnacentral:rRNA from 1 species